rnacentral:lncRNA from 1 species
AUAAGAUAAUGCACAAUUUUUAUCUUCUGGUUGGGCUUAAUUAUCACAUCAGUGAAGGCAUAAUUGGGAAGCUAAGUAUCAUUAAGUUAGGGAAGUUAUUCGUCUCCCAAUGACAAAGCAUUUACCACUUCAGAUGAACUCACCUAGUUUUUCUACAACAAGAAUUUCAACACUUAAUUUCCCUCUAGCAAACAAAACAUUGCAAAAUUACAAGUUCACAUCCUUUUGAAGAUAAAUUUUAGCCAGGCAAAAGAAAAAAGAGAAGAUAACUUUUAAAAUAAACUUUUUAAUGAAUAUUGCCAAGGUCACACCACUGCACUCCAGCCUGCGCAACAAGUAGACUUGGGGUUUCACCAUAUUGGCCAGGCUGGUCUCACACUCCUGACCUCAAGUGAUCCACCUGCCUUAGCCUCCCAAAGUGCUGAGAUUACAGGCGUAAGCCACCAUGCGAAACAGCAAUGUCAAGAGACAUACCCUUCUCUGCAAAAGUUUUAAUUUCUUUCUUUCUUUUUUUUGAGAUGCAGUCUCACUCUGUUACCCAGGCUGGAGUGCAGUGGCACCAUCUCAGCUCACUGCAACCUCCAUUUCCUGGGUUCAAGUGAUUCUCCUGCCUCAGCCUCCCAAAGAGCUGGGAUUACAGGCGCAUGCCACCAUGCCCAACUAAUUUUAGUAUUUCUAGUAGAGACGGGUUUUCGCCAUGUUGGCCAGGCUGGUAAAUGAAAGCAAUGUGCAGAAAGAUGCAAGUGGAAAGUUGUUCAUUUUGUACUGUCUGUACCAGAGAAAAAUGUUCAGUAGUACAGGUAUGGCUGAAUAGAAAAAUACAUCCAUGAUAAGGAGUACUAUAAAACAGUUAAAAAUAACUAAGUUGGUCCC